rnacentral:rRNA from 1 species
CCUACGGGCGGCUGCAGUGGGGAAUAUUGGACAAUGGGGGCAACCCUGAUCCAGCCAUGCCGCGUGUGUGAAGAAGGCCCUCGGGUUGUAAAGCACUUUCAGUGAGGAAGAACGCCUGGUGGUUAAUACCCAUCAGGAAAGACAUCACUCACAGAAGAAGCACCGGCUAACUCCGUGCCAGCAGCCGCGGUAAUACGGAGGGUGCGAGCGUUAGUCGGAAUUACUGGGCGUAAAGCGCGCGUAGGUGGCUUGAUAAGCCGGUUGUGAAAGCCCCGGGCUCAACCUGGGAACGGCAUCCGGAACUGUCAAGCUAGAGUGCAGGAGAGGAAGGUAGAAUUCCCGGUGUAGCGGUGAAAUGCGUAGAGAUCGGGAGGAAUACCAGUGGCGAAGGCGGCCUUCUGGACUGACACUGACACUGAGGUGCGAAAGCGUGGGUAGCAAACAGGAUUAGAUACCCCUGUAGUC